ensembl:lncRNA
UAUAAAUUAGAGCAGGAGAAAUAUAGCUUUGGGGUUAAAUUAGUCACGUCAGCAGUCACGUGACGUUAGCUUGCCAGCGAGCAAUCAAACAGGGAACGUAGCUAAUUUUAUUCCGGUAAUUUCACCCAAUCCAGGUUCAACAUUUGGACAGGUUUUUGACGGUUUUUCACAGCUUGGGGAUACUUACCUUAUUACCCAGAAUACAAAGAGUGUCUUUCCACUUUUCCCCGCACUGUGAAUAGGAAUAGCAGAGAGCAGCAGCGGUGUGUAAUUUACUCAGAACGAGGGGAUCCACAGACCGAGGAGGCUCCUGCUUUCUGCACAGGAAGUUACUCUACCUGGAGGUAGAAGGCCCAGUUCUGACUCUAAACACAUCCAGCACUCAACCUGCAGGCUUCUUGUCUGAUUCGAUGAAUCACUCAGCUUUCUGGACACCAGCAAUUGGAUGGCAUGCUAUGUGCAGAGAGAGAGGAGGCAAGUAAUGCUGCUGAAAGGAUCUUAGAUGACAGUGGAGUGGCGAGGAGAGGAGCGUUUGUCCUCGGCCGGUGGAGCUCAGAUGGGAGGCAGUGCUGCCUCUGGUUGGGACUGGGGAUGCUGAACGGGGGGAGGGAGGGCCUGUUUGAGCUGGGACAGCAGCUCCAGCAGCAGGGGGAGUACCAGGCCGCCCUCCACUGCUUCCUCAGCUGCCUGUUGGGACUGACCCAUGUGCAGAGCUUCACCUCUCUGCCCAACUGUCUACACCAGAUUGCAGAACUCUUCAUCACUGAAAAGAAUUAUGGGAAGGCCCUUCAGUUCAUCCAGGCUGAAAAAAUGUUCUACGAGGUGGCACUGAUAGAGCUCACCGCUCUCCAGGGGAGCACAGGGCCUCAGGAGGAGGCUAUGUUGGGCUCUGCAGGAUGGGCCACCCCAGAGGAGCUUUCAGAGCAGGCCUCCCAGGCACAGCACCUCGAACGGCUGGCCCAGCUCUGCAUCAUGAGCAAACGGCCUCAUCUUGCUUUAGAAUACAGUGGUAAGGCCACUAAGAUCCACCAGAGGGCCUUUGGUAAUGACCACCCAAUAACAGCCCGGAGCCUGGAGCUUUUGGCCACUGUCUAUGCUGAGAUUGGCAAGACUGAAUAUUCAGACUCCCUGGGUCAGUGUGUGUCCGCGCUGUCCAAACGGUUUGCUGCUGCCGAGUCCGUCAAAGACACCGUCAACUGUCUUCCUCAUUCCCACCGGGAGAAACACUCAGAGGUCCGCCACCGGAAGGACACCCACCACCAACAGGAGGAUACACUGAGACCCAAGGUAACCAAUGGUAAAGUCCCCACCUCCAUACUAAAGAGGCCCGGCCCCAGCUGUGGGUCAGACACAGAACCCGCUCACAGACGGAAGGGCGAGCGCAGGGUUCGAUUCAGGGAGCCAGAGACCACUGUACAUGCCUACGAGACGACACCGACUCGCCCCCACCUUGCCCUCUUCACCUGCCUCUUCCUGCUGAUGUCAUUCCUGGGCGUGGCCAUGUACUGCACAGACCGCCGGCGCCCACAGCGGGUGUGUGAGGAGCUCGAGGCCUCGCUGGCCAUCUACCUACUGCAUAUGAAGCAGCUUCUCUGGGGCUGCUGGAUAUGGCUGACAAUGCAGUGA